UACGAAGGGGGGCUAGCGUUGCUCGGAAUCACUGGGCGUAAAGCGCACGUAGGCGGCUUUUUUAAGUCAGGGGUGAAAUCCUGGAGCUCAACUCCAGAACUGCCUUUGAUACUGAGAAGCUUGAGUCCGGGAGGGGGUAGCGGAAUUCCCAGUGUAGCGGUGAAAUGCGUAGAUACUGGGAGGAACACCAGUGGCGAAGGCGGCUACCUGGACCGGUUCUGACGCUGAGGCGCGAAAGCGUGGGCAGCAAACAGG
rnacentral:rRNA from 1 species